AUUGAACGCUGGCGGCAGGCCUAACACAUGCAAGUCGAACGAGUAGCGGACGGGUGAGUAAUGUCUGGAAACCUGCCCGAUGGAGGGGUAUAACUACUGGAAACGGUAGAUAAUACCGCAUACCAUCGGAUGUGCCCAGAUGGGAUGAGCUAGUAGGUGGGGUAACGGCUCACCGAGGCGACGAUGCCUAGCUGGUCUGAGAGGAUGACCAGCCACACUGGAACUGAGACACGGUCCAGACUCCUACGGGAGGCAGCAGUGGGGAAUAUUGCGCAAUGGACGCAAGCCUGAUGCAGCCAUGCCGCGUGUAUGAAGAAGGCCUUCGGGUUGUAAAGUACUUUCAGCGGGGAGGCGGUACUCGCAGAAGAAGCACCGGCUAACUCCGUGCCAGCAGCCGCGGUAAUUC
rnacentral:rRNA from 1 species